rnacentral:RNase_P_RNA from 1 species
AUGAGAGACUGAGAGGAAAGUCCGGGCAGCACGAGCCACCAUGCUUCCUAACAGGAAGGCAUCGUACUGAAUGUGUUAAUGCGUAAAUGUGUUAAUGCGUUAGUGAGGUGACAGAGAGCGCCACAGAAAAGAUACCGCUAUUAGGAGUGACUGAGUGCUUGAGUCACUAAGUAGUUGAGAAAAAACACAGUAACUUAGCCACUUGGUCACCCAGUCACUUCUGAUAGCAAGGGUGAAAACGCGGGGUAAGAGCCCACGACGUGUCACGGUGACGUGCACGAUGGCAAGCCUCAUGGGCUGAAAGACCAUGUAAACCGGCAGUUUAAAGGCAGGCUCGCCUGAGCAGAGAUGCCGGAGGGUAGGUUGAUUGAGACCGUCGGUGACGGUGGUCCUAGAUUAAUGAUAGAGCACGACAGAACCCGGCUUAUAGACCUUCG